rnacentral:rRNA from 1 species
AUUGAACGCUGGCGGCAGGCCUAACACAUGCAAGUCGAGCGGAUGAAGGGAGCUUGCUCCUGGAUUCAGCGGCGGACGGGUGAGUAAUGCCUAGGAAUCUGCCUGGUAGUGGGGGGUAACGUCCGGAAACGGGCGCUAAUACCGCAUACGUCCUGAGGGAGAAAGUGGGGGAUCUUCGGACCUCACGCUAUCAGAUGAGCCUAGGUCGGAUUAGCUAGUUGGUGGGGUAAAGGCCUACCAAGGCGACGAUCCGUAACUGGUCUGAGAGGAUGAUCAGUCACACUGGAACUGAGACACGGUCCAGACUCCUACGGGAGGCAGCAGUGGGGAAUAUUGGACAAUGGGCGAAAGCCUGAUCCAGCCAUGCCGCGUGUGUGAAGAAGGUCUUCGGAUUGUAAAGCACUUUAAGUUGGGAGGAAGGGCAGUAAGUUAAUACCUUGCUGUUUUGACGUUACCAACAGAAUAAGCACCGGCUAACUUCGUA